rnacentral:rRNA from 1 species
AUUGAACGCUGACGGCAGGCCUAACACAUGCAAGUCGAGCGGAUGAAGGGAGCUUGCUCCUGGAUUCAGCGGCGGACGGGUGAGUAAUGCCUAGGAAUCUGCCUGGUAGUGGGGGAUAACGUCCGGAAACGGGCGCUAAUACCGCAUACGUCCUGAGGGAGAAAGUGGGGGAUCUUCGGACCUCACGCUAUCAGAUGAGCCUAGGUCGGAUUAGCUAGUUGGUGGGGUAAAGGCCUACCAAGGCGACGAUCCGUAACUGGUCUGAGAGGAUGAUCAGUCACACUGGAACUGAGACACGGUCCAGACUCCUACGGGAGGCAGUAGUGGGGAAUAUUGGACAAUGGGCGAAAGCCUGAUCCAGCCAUGCCGCGUGUGUGAAGAAGGUCUUCGGAUUGUAAAGCACUUUAAGUUGGGAGGAAGGGCAGUAAGUUAAUACCUUGCUGUUUUGACGUUACCAACAGAAUAAGCACCGGCUAACUUCGUG